rnacentral:tRNA from 1 species
GGGGUUAUAGCUCUGUGGUAGAGCUCAUGCUUGGUGAGCACAAGGUCCCGGGUUCAAUUCCUAGUGCCUCCA